ACGAAAUUUUUGUUAAGAGGGGUAGUAUGUAGUAGCCCGCUCUUUUAAUUAUGAUUAAAAUUAGUAAAUGCAAUUUUUAUAAAUGAAUCCAGCUUAUGGUCCUGAUUUUUUUUAUCAGAGACGGAGUUAUUAUUUAGCUUUAUACUUUUAUAACGUAUGAGAACAACGUGACGAGAAUUAUUGAGCCAUUCAAUAAUUUAUUAUCCAGUUUAAUAACUGACUUAGCAAAGUCAAGUUAUUAAUUUAUAUGCGAUAGAAAUAUUAUUUCUAUUAUUUACUUGGAAGUCGUGAUCUAAUUCCGAAUCAUAAGAACGAGUUAAAUUAGAUAUUUAAUUCGUAGAGAGCUAUAACGAAGCGUCGUUAUUUAGUAGAACCCAAUAUUAGUUUUACAAAUACUUGUAACUUCAAUACUUUACAAAUCAUUAUCUUUUUUUCCACUCCCUAAUGUUUCCUACACUAUACACGCAUCCACUCCACCAAAUCCCAUUAUACCUACCUCCCCACCACUACUCCUUUUCCCCCACCACACUCAAGUGCACCACCAACUCCACUCAAUCGUUUGGCACCAACAAAGAUAGAAAGUUUAAAGAAAAGAGUGUUGCAAAGACUAGUGGAAAGAAGGAAAAUAUCAACUCCCACCACCCUUUGCUCCCUCUCUUUACAGCCACCAAGAGUUUUCUCCAAAGAGCAUAGAAGCCUCCACUUCGUUCAGCCAAGUUCUCAAGGUAAACCUUGCUUUAAUGUCUCACCUUCUUCGAAUGAUCACCUGCAAUUACUGAAACAACAACACAAAAUUUCAGUUCCAGUUCAUUCGACACGCCGUAUCCGAAAAGCAAGUUAAAACAUUCAUUCAAUUCUCUGCCAAACUUUAAGGUAAGAGUAGCCUUGAUUCAUCAUCUCGUUCCAACCAAUUAUAACUUACAGUUAUUGAAAGAAACAAGUUUGAUCUUUCUAGUUCAUUCAUUUCAGUUCUUUUAACUCAACAUCACAGCAACCUACCUCCAUUCAUUCUUUACUCACCUGUAUUUGUUAAAGUAGCAACCUUAUUUCAGUUCAUCUCAUACAAAUCAACAACAACAGCCAUCAACAACAAACAAUUACAGGUCAAGCGCGAGAGUAAGAACUAUUCAAGAAGUCACAGUACCUUAGCAAAACUUUGCUAUCAGGUUGAGUUGUGAUGGGCGAUGAAGUGUUGCUGAGUGGAGUUUUUGUCGAACUUAAAGUAGGCUCAGAAAGGAUACAUGUCUUCAUACAUGUAUCUCAGUUAUGCAUUCCGCUGUAAACACUGAUUAUUUCAGUUACGCCUUCCGUUGCAAACUCUGAUAAUGUUUUAGCCAAGCCCCCAACGAUGCCUUUUUCCUUUUAAGGAAUAUAACGCGUAUACAAGUUCUUUGAGUACCCUUUUUAUG